GAUCAUGGCUCAGGAUGAACGCUAGCGGCAGGCCUAACACAUGCAAGUCGAGGGGUAACAGUUCGGCUGACGACCGGCGCACGGGUGCGUAACACGUGUAGAACCUACCUUUUACUGGGGAUAGCCUGAAGAAAUUUGGAUUAAUACCCCAUAGUGUUGAUAGGUUGCAUAAUUUUUCAACUAAAGAGUUUACUUGGUAAAGAUGGCUACGCGCUCUAUUAGCUAGAUGGCGAGGUAACGGCUCCCCAUGGCUACGAUAGAUAGGGGUUCUGAGAGGAAGAUCCCCCACACUGGUACUGAGACACGGACCAGACUCCUACGGGAGGCAGCAGUGAGGAAUAUUAGGCAAUGGGCGCAAGCCUGACCUAGCCAUGCCGCGUGCAGGAAGAAGGUCCUAUGGAUUGUAAACUGCUUUUUUAGGGGAAGAAUGCCAGAGACGUGUCUUUGGAGCGACGGUACCCUGAGAAUAAGCACCGGCUAACUCCGUG
rnacentral:rRNA from 1 species